UACGGGGGGGGCAAGCGUUGUUCGGAAUUACUGGGCGUAAAGGGCUCGUAGGUGGCCAACUAAGUCAGACGUGAAAUCCCUCGGCUUAACCGGGGAACUGCGUCUGAUACUGGAUGGCUUGAGUUUGGGAGAGGGAUGCGGAAUUCCAGGUGUAGCGGUGAAAUGCGUAGAGAUGCGGAGGAACACCGAUGGCGAAGGCAGCCCCCUGGGCUAGCACUGACGCUCAGGCACGAAAGCGUGGGGAGCAAACAGG
rnacentral:rRNA from 1 species